GAUGAACGCUGGCGGCGUGCUUAACACAUGCAAGUCGAACGAAGCAUUUUACCGAAAUUUCUUCGGAGAGGAAAGUGAAAUGACUGAGUGGCGGACGGGUGAGUAACGCGUGGAUAACCUGCCAUAUACAGGGGGAUAACAGUUAGAAAUGACUGCUAAUACCGCAUAAGCGCACAGUAUCGCAUGAUACGGUGUGAAAAACUACGGUGGUAUAUGAUGGAUCCGCGUCUGAUUAGCUAGUUUGGCGGGGUAACGGCCCACCAAGUCGACGAUCGGUAGCCGGACUGAGAGGUUGAACGGCCACAUUGGGACUGAGACACGGCCCAGACUCCUACGGGAGGCAGCAGUGGGGGGAUAUUGCACAAUGGGCGAAAGCCUGAUGCAGCAACGCCGCGUGAGGGAAGGAAGGCCUCGGUUGGUAAGGUACGUACUGUCUUCGGAGGGACGGAACGAAACUAAGUACGGUACCGUACCGGUACGGGAACGGACCGACCGGACCGGUAACUAACCGUUACGCCGUACGACACGCCGCC
rnacentral:rRNA from 1 species